CAGGCGUAGGAAAUUUGAGAAGACCUGUCCUUAGUACGAGAGGACCGGGAUGGACGUACCUCUGGUGUACCAGUUGUCCUGCCAAGGGCAUGGCUGGGUAGCUAUGUACGGAAUGGAUAAGCGCUGAAAGCAUCUAAGCGCGAAGCCAACUUCAAGAUAAGAUUUCCCACCGCAAGGGUAAGACCCCAGAAAGACUAUCUGGUUGAUAGGUCGAAGGUGUAAGUGCAGCAAUGUAUUUAGCUUAUCGAUACUAAUAGGUCGAGGACUUGACCAA
rnacentral:rRNA from 1 species